CAGGCCUAACACAUGCAAGUCGAACGCGUCCUCGUUAAAAUAAGUUGGUGCUUGCAUUAACUUAUUUUAACAUCGGGACGAGUGGCGAACUGGUGAGUAACACGUGGAUAACCUGCCCUGAAGUAUGGGAUAACAUUUGGAAACAAGUGCUAAUACCGUAUAAUUAGUAAAAAUCGCAUGAUUUCUACUUGAAAGAUGGUUCUGCUAUCGCUUUAGGAUGGAUCCGCGGCGUAUUAGCUAGUUGGUGAGAUAAAAGCCCACCAAGGCGAUGAUACGUAGCCGACCUGAGAGGGUAAUCGGCCACAUUGGGACUGAGACACGGCCCAGACUCCUACGGGAGGCAGCAGUAGGGAAUCUUCCACAAUGGACGAAAGUCUGAUGGAGCAACGCCGCGUGAGUGAAGAAGGGUUUCGGCUCGUAAAACUCUGUUGUUAAAGAAGAACAAGUGUAAGAGUAACUGUUUACGCUUUGACGGUAUUUAACCAGAAAGCCACGGCUAACUACGUGCCAGCAGCCGCGGUAAU
rnacentral:rRNA from 1 species